ensembl:lncRNA
GUAGGAUAACUCCGGGUCAGGAACUUGAGAGUGAGGUGAUCAAUGCCACCCUGCUCAGAAUGGUCCAGAAGCACAAUUGCCAAGGGGGGAAAAAGGCACUUUGCAUUGAUACAUAUGCCAUGACACAAAUUUGGAACAGGAAGACUGCAAUUCUAAGGAAGUGUGAUCCAUCAUUGUAUGGAGUCAUUCUGGGGGUAGUGAAUGAGCCAAAUCAUUGGAUACUCACAGUCAUCUUCCCCUCAGAACAGAGGAGCCUUGUGCUGGAUCCACUCGGCAACGAUGCCUCCAAGAUCACAAGAUGUCUGGAGACCACAAGAGCAUUCAUGAGAGCGAGGGGCUGUACGGUGUCCAGGUGGAAAGCCAACACUGUGCCACAUAGCCUACAACAGGAUUCCACUUCAUGUGGAAUAUUUGCCAUCAAAAUGAUCUCAGUGAGCUGUGCCACCACUGUGGAGAGGGAGAAGAAGCGCGAGGGGGGUCUCAAGACAGACCUGAUGCCACUGACUGGAUCCAGUGUGACACCUGUGGAAGGUGAUACCACGAGGGUUGUGUUGGGAGACCGGAUAGAGAUCCUAUGUACAGCUGUCCUGCAUGCCACCAGGCUCAAAUGAGUCGAUGCCGUCAAAACGGUCCAAAAAAAUAAAAUGUUGAUAACCAUGUCACAUGAUUAUCACGCCUUCCCGUGAGGAUGGACACUGGGGUUUCAGCGGCCCUCACAACCCUCAUCACCACCCCCCC